rnacentral:rRNA from 1 species
CCUACGGGAGGCAGCAGUGAGGAAUAUUGGUCAAUGGACGAGAGUCUGAACCAGCCAAGCAGCGUGAAGGAUGACUGCCCUAUGGGUUGUAAACUUCUUUUAUAUGGGAAUAAAACGUUCCACGUGUGGGAUUUUGUAUGUAUCAUAUGAUUAAGGAUCGGCUAAAUCCGCGCCAGCAGCCGCGGUAAUCCGGAGGAUCCGAGCGUUAUCCGGAUUUAUUGGGUUUAAAUGGAGCGUAGGUGGGUUGUUAAGUUAGUUGUGACAGUUUGCGGCUCAACCGUAAAAUUGCAGUUGAUACUGGUAGUCUUGAGUGAAGUAGAGGUAGGCGGAAUUCGUGGUGUAGCGGUGAAAUGCGUAGAUAUCACGAAGAACUCCGAUUGCGAAGGCAGUUCACUGGACUGCAACUGACACUGAGGCUCGAAAGUGUGGGUAUCAAACAGGAUUAGAUACCCCUGUAGUC